ACUACGGGAGGCAGCAGUGAGGAAUAUUGGUCAAUGGGCGGAAGCCUGAACCAGCCACGUAGCGUGCAGGAUGACGGCCCUACGGGUUGUAAACUGCUUUUAUACGGGAAUAACGCGCCUUACGUGUAGGGCUUUGCAUGUACCGUAUUAAUAAGGACCGGCUAAUUCCGUGCCAGCAGCCGCGGUAAUACGGACGGUCCGGGCGUUAUCCGGAUUUAUUGGGGUGAAAGGGGGCGUAGGCCGCAUGUCAAGCGUGCUUUGAAGUGUCCGGGCUCAACCCGGGCCUUGCAGCGCGAACUGGCGUGCUUGAGUCCGCGGAAAGCAGGCGGAAUUCGUGGUGUAGCGGUGAAAUGCUUAGAUAUGACGAAGAACCCCGAUGGCGAAGGCAGCUUGCUGCAGCGGAACUGACGCUGAUGCUCGAAAGCGCGGGUAUCGAACAGGAUUGAUACCCGAGUAGUC
rnacentral:rRNA from 1 species